rnacentral:rRNA from 1 species
UAGCAGAGGGGGCAAGCGUUGUUCGGAAUUACUGGGCGUAAAGGGCGCGUAGGCGGCCUUCUAAGUCGGAACGUGAAAUCCCUGGGCUCAACCCAGGAACUGCGUCCGAUACUGGGAGGCUUGAAUCCGGGAGAGGGAUGCGGAAUUCCAGGUGUAGCGGUGAAAUGCGUUGAGAUGUGUCGGAAACACCAAUGGCGAAAGCAGUCUCUGGACGGAUACUGACGCUCAGGCUCGAAAGC